AUUUAUGGUUUUUCCUUUUUCAUAAAGGAAAUUAAAAGGGAAUUCGGUGUAAUUCCGAAGCUGUUCCCGCAACUGUAAGCCGUCUGUAAUUUACAGAUAGCGCAAUGCUUCAAAACCACUGCUUGCCUAGGCAAGUGGGAAGGUUUGCGCGAAAGGUAAGCCAGGAGACCUGCCAUUUUCA
rnacentral:ncRNA from 1 species